AGAGUUUGAUCCUGGCUCAGGACGAACGCUGGCGGCGUGCCUAAUACAUGCAAGUCGAGCGAACCACUUUAUGUGGUUAGCGGCGGACGGGUGAGUAACACGUGGGCAAUCUGCCUAUCAGACUGGAAUAACGCUUGGAAACGGGUGCUAAUGCCAGAUAGGGCAAUGGGGAGGCAUCUUCCUGUUGGGAAAGGCGCUAC
rnacentral:rRNA from 1 species